rnacentral:rRNA from 1 species
GGAGGUAGUGACAAUAAAUCACAAUGCGGGACUCCUAGUCUUGCAAUUGGAUUGAGAACAACGUACAACUCUUAUCGAUAAGCCAUUGGAGGGCAAGUCUGGUGCCAGCAGCCGCGGUAAUUCCAGCUCCAAUAGCGUAUAUUAACGUUGUUGCAGUUAAAAAGCUCGUAGUUGAAGUGAGGGAGUGUGUAGUAGGACCGACUUGAUCGGAACUGCUGCAACCUCCCCCCUCCAAUCGGUGUAGUGGGGUAUUCACUUAUUCUACUACUCCUUUGGUCGUUUACUGUGAGAAAAUUAGAGUGUUCAAAGCGGGCGUUUGUUUGAAUAGAUUAGCAUGGAAUAAUGAUUGAAGGCUUUCGUGUUCGAUUUGAUUGGUUUGUUCAUGGAAGCAAGGUUAAAAGGAACAGUUGGGGGUAUUCAUAUUCACUAGUUAGAGGUGAAAUUCUCGGAUUUAUGGAAGAUGAACAAGUGCGAAAGCA